GAUGAACGCUGGCGGCGUGCUUAACACAUGCAAGUCGAACGAUGAAGCCCAGCUUGCUGGGUGGAUUAGUGGCGAACGGGUGAGUAACACGUGAGUAACCUGCCCUUGACUCUGGGAUAAGCCUGGGAAACUGGGUCUAAUACUGGAUAUGACUUCUCAUCGCAUGGUGGGGGGUGGAAAGAUUUAUUGGUCUUGGAUGGACUCGCGGCCUAUCAGCUUGUUGGUGAGGUAAUGGCUCACCAAGGCGACGACGGGUAGCCGGCCUGAGAGGGUGACCGGCCACACUGGGACUGAGACACGGCCCAGACUCCUACGGGAGGCAGCAGUGGGGAAUAUUGCACAAUGGGCGCAAGCCUGAUGCAGCGACGCCGCGUGAGGGAUGACGGCCUUCGGGUUGUAACCUCUUUCAGUAGGGAAGAAGCGAGAGUGACGGUACCUGCAGAAGAAGCGCCGGCUAACUACGUG
rnacentral:rRNA from 1 species